rnacentral:rRNA from 1 species
AGAGUUUGAUCCUGGCUCAGAUUGAACGCUGGCGGCAUGCUUUACACAUGCAAGUCGAACGGGGUGAGGGGGCAACUCUUCAUUCAGUGGCGAACGGGUGAGUAAUGCAUCGGAACGUGUCCCGUAGUGGGGGAUAACGCCGCGAAAGCGGCGCUAAUACCGCAUAUGCUCUACGGAGGAAAGUGGGGGAUCGCAAGACCUCACGCUAUGGGAGCGGCCGAUGUCCGAUUAGCUAGUUGGUGGGGUAAUGGCUUACCAAGGCGACGAUCGGUAGCUGGUCUGAGAGGAUGAUCAGCCACACUGGGACUGAGACACGGCCCAGACUCCUACGGGAGGCAGCAGUGGGGAAUUUUGGACAAUGGGGGCAACCCUGAUCCAGCCAUGCCGCGUGCGGGAAGAAGGCCUUCGGGUUGUAAACCGCUUUUAGCCGGGAAGAAAAGGCGGGGGCUAAUACCCUCUGUUUUUGACGGUACCGGCGGAAUAAGCACCGGCUAACUACGUGCCAGCAGCCGCGGUAAUACGUAGGGUGCGAGCGUUAAUCGGAAUUACUGGGCGUAAAGCGUGCGCAGGCGGUUCGUUGUGUCUGUGGUGAAAGCCCCGGGCUUAACCUGGGAAUGGCCAUGGAAACUGGCGGACUUGAGUGUGGCA